ACCCAUCAGAUCUUAAAUGGGGGAAAACCCUAUUGUUUUUAUCAACCUCACUUUUCUCAUCUUUGAGAGCUACACAACCGCCUCUCUCAUUUUCGGGCCUCCCUCCCUCGCCGCUUACUGGUCGUCAUUGCCGGAUUUAAUCACCGGACGACGACCACAGUUUCACCAUUGUCCUUAAUCUCUCUCUCACGCCACUCUAUUGUUUCUUCCUCAUCGUCUGUCGCCUCUUUCAUCACCAAAGAAUGACUGGCAGUAGCCAUGGCUGACCACCGUUGAAACUGUCAGACUUGGGUUGUUCCAAGCGGAUCUGACCUAAAAGAGAAGUCUGAUGACCUUUACUCUAAGGGGUUGUUCUGAUAAACUCUAUUGAAGAAACGCCGUCGAUUUGAAAGAGCUUUUGACCGAAAAGAUUAAAUGUUGUCGACCUUUGACGCUUUGUUGGUCUUUUUUCCUGUUUCUCUAGUCCGGCCGUUGAAGUAGUGGCCUUUAGAUGGGGCUGACAUCAUCUCAAGUAUGACAUGGUUUUCUAAAUAUGGUGAUGUUUUGCUAUUUCUGAAGGUUGGCCGGAAAUACUGAUUUCCGGCGAUGUUUGCCAUUUCCGGCGACCUCUCUUGUGUUUCCUUUUACUACUUUAUAUGUUCUUUUGACUAACUGCUUACUGAUGUUUUGGUUUGUUACUUAUGUUAUCACUGUUGCGGCGUCCCUCUGCUGUUAGUGAAUAACUCGUUUGUUUUUGGUGUUACAAUAUUUUUGUACCUCUAUCGUUCUGAUCACUUUGGGCAUAACAUGUUUGGCUUGAUUCCAAUUGCUUGCUCGAAAUUUGGUGAUAUUUUUUGAUAUUGUUCUACCGUUACUAUUUGGACGCUACUGUUUGCUGCCUCGUCGGAAAAUCUGUCGACCCAUUAUGUUUAAAGAUUAUCGGAGGAAUAUUAUGUUGUGGGACCCAUGAAAAGAUGAAAAAUUUAAGGCGUUGUGAUGAUUCUUAACUGAUAAAGGACAAGAUACUACACCGUCCUUCGGAUACAGAAUGAAAUAUAUUUUAUGAGGCGAUGAUGAGAGCGAAAGAAAGAAUAAAGGACGAGAAUGCGAUAAACCGUGUUUUGGAAGGCAACACGGUUAGCUGCUGGAGUUGCAACCAAGUCGAUGUGUGCAUUAUAAUUUCUAUUUACUACGGCAUACACUAUCUGAGCAUCCAAAAAUAUUUUUUAACCAUUUUCAAAAACAAAAAACAAAUUUCCAAAAGUAUUUCUUAAAUCAUUUCUAAACGACAAUGUUCGAAAAACGUCUUUAAAUAAAAUUAUUUCAAAAAAUAAAUUAGUUUAUUGUUUUACUUUAUACUUCACUAAUAAUUUUACUUUUCUUGUCUUGCGAUGUACAAUUGGAUGGAGUUGCUUUGGGGAGACGAUACCCGAAGAUAAAAAGAUAAAUCCCCAUUGAGCUCUUCGCUUCACACUUCCUAUUUUAGGAUGUAUUCAAAAUCACAAGUAUAGUAAAAACAUAGAUAUAUGUCGUAUUGUUUUCUUACUUUGAUAUUGCUUAUUUGCUAAACACUUAGAAAAUUGCAUGUAGUUAAUAAUCAGAUUAACUUGCAAUAUUGUGUGUUAAGUAAUUCUUGAAGUUUAUAAGGGAUGUUGAAUAUAUUUUGUAACAUGGAUAAUUAAUUAGAACCGGUUUAUACCAAACUAAUUAAAUUAGUCAUAUACAUAAAAAUGAAACAUGCAUCUUCUUCCAAAAACAAUUAAAUAAUUUUAUCUUUGUCUUAAAUUUAUAUGAGCACCUUUUCGAACCACUCUACAUGUAAAUUGUUCUUUAAUUGACACAUAAUUUGUAAAGAAGUUGUAAUUGAAUUGUUACACUAUUCUUUGAGAGAAUUGAGCCUUGUAGUUGUCACGCCCCAAACUCGAAAAGCGCAACCUACGGCCAACCGAGUGAACCCGGUCAAGCAAGCAUGUUAGACACUUUCUACCCAAUGCACCCAUGAUAAAGAGAAGACAUAAUUUCGUUAAUUAGACAGUAGGGAGAUCAUGUAUACAAUACUAAGUCAUUUCAUUAGUUACUUCACUUUUAAGUCUCAAAGUACACAUAUUCUUAUAGUUUGAGUGGAACAAGUGAUCAAAACACAACAUAACUUGUUUGACUUUUCUAGCACCCAUGUACAACCUACAUAGUGUUUACGGAGCCUCUAAAAGAUACAAAAGAGUGUUAUGAUAGUGCUGGUACCAAGGCCACGGCUAUACCUCAAGACAUGAUAAUAAUAUGAAUAAAAGAUACAAUACAUGAACCCGGGAUAAAGUGGAGCUCACCAAGUCUGCUAGAAAUAGGAUGUACCACUAUCGCUGAUCAACACUGCCUACUAUGGAAUCACCUGCAUCUAUUUAAAGAUGCAGUGCCCCCGGCCAAAGGGACGUUCGUACUGUCGAAUAGUACUAGUAUGUAAAACUAAACACCAUCUCAAUAGAAUGCAUAAUAAUACAAGGGGGAACAGUCAAGAAUUCAAUAAGAGCUUCAAAUAAUACUAAAACAUCAAGUUAAGGAUCACAUAAGCUUUCAAGUCAAUUUCUAUAUUAUUAGGUUGGGUGAUCUUUAGUGCCGAUAUACCAUAAUUCACAAUACCACUAUAUUAUUACACGGAGUCCGAUCACGAUCCGAUCGACUAGGUCGUCUCAUUUGAGACAUCAACCAUAAACACAAUUUCAUCAUAAUUUCUAGCACAGUCACCACCAUGUGUGCGGCAUGGCAUCCGAUUACGGCCCGAUCGGCUAGGCCGUCUCACCCGAGACAUUACCUUUUUUAGUCAAUCAUCUCACAUCAUAUUUCUUUCACAUCCUUUCAAUUCAUUGGCACUAGUUGCCAUAAUUAUAAAGUCAUUCUUGGCACUUGGCCAUAUUUCAUAAUUCCAGUUCUCCUUUCUACAUUCAAACAUCAUUAUCAUUAUCAACAACAAUAAGGCUUCCCAUUCAAGACAUUAAAUUCACAUAUGAGUAAUUUGAAAAUCUUAGGCACAUAGAGGCUUUUCAUACAAUUUGGCAUAACAACCUUUAUUUCGAUCUUGACUUGAAGUCUUAACAUUUUUAACACAUAUUCCAUAUUUUGAACACAUCCUCAAUGAUAAAGUGGUAUGAUGAAGCAUUUACAAUACAUAUUGAGCAUAUAUCCUUCAACACAAGCACAUUCGGAAUAGCCAAUUCUAUUAUGAUCAAUUUGGGAUUUACACCAAUUUCAUGAACACCGUGGGAUUUGAUUCUAAGAAGAAGGGGGUUUAGCCAACAUACCUCAAUUGAGAUUUCCUUAAGCUUUAAAACAUUCUGGAAUUCUUAGCAACUUCGAUCUAUUUUAGAAAUAUAACAAGUUGGACCAAAAUUAGGAAGAUGGUCAUGAUUCUAGCUCAUUUGAGCACAUUAUCAAACACUAGGUGUGCAUUAAUAUUUUAAGGUCCUUUUGUGAAAGAUUCCAUCAUUCUCCAACACAUUCUCUAUCAUUUUUAGCUCACAACCUUCCCACAUUCUUUGAUAACACAUGCAUGCAAGAUAACAACCCCCACACCCAAAAAUUGUCUUUCUAAUUAUCCCAUUUUUUGUAAAUUUUUGAAAUCGAGAGCUAGGAUAUAGAUUCUUACCUUUAGGAUGAAGACUUUAUUUGUUAAUCCUCAAUGAUUGAGCAAGAAUUGAUAGAUAAUAGGUUGAAGGUUACUCCCCCACACUAAGCACUCUUUCUCACUCUAAAAGUAUCAGAAAUUUGCUCAAAUUUGACUAUGUGAUAUGUUUUAUCGAAGUAGGGUUGGGUUAUAAAAACCCAAAAAUGAAGCCCCGGGACAGGAUCCACGGUCGCAUAUGCGAUCGCAUAUGCGAUCGCAUAAUGAUUCUGCGGUAUGCGAAAUGACCGCAAAAAAUGGCCUUCGAAAUAGGGCUGGCCUGCUUCACUCUGCGGCCUUUAUGCAGCCCGCAGACCUGUUAUGCGGUCGCAUAAUGCGCCGCAGAACCUCCCUCCACAAAAAUUCUAAGGCUGAUUGUGCGAAAAAAGUAUGACCCGUGAAAUGAUUGUGCGAUCGCAUAACUGGCCGCGAAAUUAUCAUAAAAAAUGGUCCAAGUAGUUGCUUCAUUCUGUGGCCAUUCUGUGGCCUGUAGAGUGAUUUUGCGGCCGCAUAAUGGGCUGCAAAAAUGCCUAUCUUUGCAAAAUAUUUUCCUUCAACUCCCCAGCGCACUGUUCAAUCCAAAAAGUUUGAACCCCAGUUUUUAGGAAAAGUCCGAUGAAUUUCUACUAUUAUUUACCUCUACGCCUACCCCGACAUCACGAAACCCCGGUUUUAGAAAAUAUUUUAUGGGGCCUUACAUCCUCCCCCACUUAAGAUCAUUCGUCCUCGAAUGAGGAUCAAGGCUCAUUAUUAGGAUCCUAUGCAACUCAGAUUUCAUAUCACACACCAACAGCCCCAAAUUCAACUAACUCCCUGAAUUUCCAAAAAUUUCGCCCAAGUUCCCCUGUAACUUGGCCUAUCCACCUAUCAGAGAGCCCCCAAAACACAUCCUCAAAACAUAUAUAUAAUCCAAUGACGUAACAUAACUCAUAACAACACUAACCGUAUCCUCACAUACAAUAUAUUUAGAAAGAAGAACCUUUACAUUAACCGAACAAGUGAUACAAUAACACAUAGGCGACAGUUUUAUAGAAAGGUUACAUAGCUUAUACAAACAAGUAAGGAUAUUACUUUUUCACCUCUUCCUCAGCCUCCCAAGUAGCCUCUUCAACCUACUGAUUUUGCCACAACACCUUCACGGAGGUAAUUUCUUUAUUCCUCAACUUUCGUACUUGCCUAUCAAGAAUGGCAACUGAAAUUUCUUCAUAUGACAGUUCUUUAUUAACCUCAAUGGUCUUAACCGACACAAUAGCUGACGGAUCUCCAACUACCUUCUUCAACAUAGAUACAUGGAAUGUCAGGUGCACUAAUGACAUCUCGAGUGAUAGCUCAAGCUUGUACGCCACCUGACCAAUCCUCUGAAUGAUUUUGUACGGUCAGAUAUACCUCAGACUCAAUUUCCCUUUCCUUCCAAACCGCAUUAUACCCUUCAUGGGGGAAACCUUCAAGAAUACCCAAUCAUCUUCCUUGAACUCUAAGUCUCUGCGACGAACAUCCGAAUAGGAUUUUUGAUGACUCUGAGCACUUUCCAGUCGCUCCUUAAUGAUUUUAACCAUUUCCAUAGCCUGAUGCACGAGGUCUGGUCCUAUCAACUCAGCUUCCCCAGUCUCGAACCACCCAAUGGGAGAUCUACAUCUCUUACUAUAUAAUGCCUCAAAUGGUGCCAUCUGAAUACUAGCAUGAAAGCUAUUUUAUUAUAAGCAAACUCUAUGAGUGGCAAAUGAUCAUCCCAGCUACCUUUGAAGUCAAGAACACAAGCACGCAACAUGUCCUCAAGUGUCUGAAUAGUCCGCUCUGCCUGCCCGUCGGUCUGUGGAUGGAAGGUUGUACUAAGAUUCACCUGAGUACCUAAACCUUGUUGAAAUUGCUUCAAAUAAUUUACCGUGAACUGAGCCCCUCGAUCGAAAAUGAUAGAAACUGGAGUGCCAUGCAGCCUGACUAUUUCCUUGAUAUACAACUGAGCAUACUGUUUCGUUGUGUUGGUAGAUUUAACUGGCAGAAAUGUGUUGAUUUCGUGAGUCGAUCCACAAUCACCCAAAUUGAGUCAAACUUGCGUGGAGUGCGUGGUAAUCCUACCACAAAAUUCAUAUUAAUCAUUUCCCACUUCCAUAUUGGAAUUUCUAUGUUCUGUGCCAACCCACCAGGCCGUUGGUGUUCGGCCUUCACUUGUUGACAAUUCAGACAUCUUGCCACUAAGUCCGCCACAUUCCUUUUCAUGUCACUCCACCAAUAGACUUCCUUGAGAUCAUGAUACAUCUUCGUAGAACUUGGGUGCACGGAAUACCUAGAAGUGUGAGCCUCGGUCAUGAUUCUUUCCCAGAGACCAUCUACAUUUGGAACACAUAGCCGCCCUUGGUGCCUUAGUGUACCAUCAUCCAUGCCAAGAGUAAAAGCCAUAGUUUUAUGUUUUUGAAUCCCCUCCUUCAGUUGUACCAACAAUGGAUCGUCGUAUUGCUUCUCUUUGUUAUCCACGACAAGCAAUGAUUCAGCCCUAUUUUGCACAAUUACCCCUCCUUCACUAGAGUCCGCAAGACGAACUCCCAAGCUGGCUAACUAGUGAACCUCCCUGGCCAACAGCCUUCGACAUGCCUCCAAGUGAGCCAAACUACCCAUAGAUUUCCGGCUAAGAUCAUCCGCCACAACAUUGGCUUUCCCCUAGUGAUAUAGAAUAUCGAUUGUGUAAUCCUUGAGUAACUCAAGCCAUCUUCUCUGCCUCAGAUUCAGCUCUUUUUGUUUGAAAAUAUAUUGAAGACUCUUGUGGUUCGUGAAUACAUCCACAUGGACCCCAUACAAAUAAUGACGCCAAAUUUUUAAUGCAAAAACCACCACCGCAAGUUCCAAGUCAUGUGUUGGAUAGUUCUUCUCAUGAUUCUUGAGUUGCCUAGAAGAAUAAGCUAUAACCUUGCCAUGUUGCAUUAACACGCACCCAAGCCUGAUCCUUGUAGCAUCACAAUAUACCACAAACCCAUCUGUACCUUCUAGCAGGGUCAACACCGGCGCCGUAGUCGAUCUUGAUUUCAACUCCCGGAAGCUCCUUUCACAAGCAUCGUACCAUUGGAACUUAACCGUUUUCUGAGUCAAUUUAGUCAAUGGAGAGGCAAGAGUAGAGAACCCCUCCAGAAACCUCCUAUAAUACCCUGGUAAGCCCAAGAAACUGCGAAUCUCGGUUGGCAUUGUAGGUCAAGGCCAAUUCUUCACCGCUGCAAUAUUUUGAGGGUCAACCUUAAUUUCUUCUCUAGAGACAACAUGACACAAGAAUGUGACAGACUCGAGCCAAAAUUCACAUUUUGAAAAUUUCACGUACAAUUGGUGCUGAUGAAGAGUCUGCAAAACUGCCCUAAGAUGAUCGGCAUGGUCCUCUUGACUUCGUGAAUACACAAGAAUAUCGUCAAUAAAUAAUAUCAUAAAGGAAUCAAGAAAAGUCUUGAAAACCCGAUUCAUAAGAUCCAUGAAAGUCGUCGGGGUAUUUGUUAUCCCAAAAGACAUUACCAGAAAUUCAAAGUGCCCAUACCGGGUCCUGAAAGUUAUUUUUGGAAUAUCCUGCUCCCUGAUCUUCAAUUGGUGGUACCCGGACCGUAAAUAAAUUUUGAAGAAGUACCUAGCGCCCUGUAACUGAUCAAACAAAUCAUUUAUUCUUGGUAAUGGGUAUUAGUUUUUGAUUGUGACUAUGUUGAGUUGCCGGUAGUCAAUACACAUCCUCAGUGAUCCAUCUUUCUUCCUCACAAAGAGAACCGAUGCGCCCCAUGGUGACACACUCGGUCGGAUGAAACCCUUCUCUAACAAAUCCUUCACUUGUUCCUUUAGAUCCUUUAAUUCUGCUAGUGCCAUCCUGUAGUGCAUAAUAGAUAUAGGCUGCGUGCCUGGCAUCAUAUCAAUCCCAAAAUCAAUCUCCCUAUCUGGCAGAAUCAUAGGGAGCUCAUCAGGAAAGACCUCUGGAAAUUCAUUCACAACUGGCACAGACUCGAGUGUAGGUGCCUCAGCAUUGGUGUCUGUAACCCAGACGAAAUGAUAGAUACACCCCUUAUUAAUCAUCUUCGUGGCCUUGAGGUAAGAAAUAAACCUACCUUUUGGCAUUACAUUAUCCCCCUUCAACUCAACAACUGGCUCAUUUGGAAAUUCAAACCUUACAGUCCUAGUUCGGCAAUCGAGCUUGGGAAAACAUGAAUAAAGCUAAUCCAUUCCCAUAAUUACAUCAAAAUAAACCAUCCCCAAUUCAAUGAGAUCGGCUACGGUGCCCCGACCAUGCACCGUGAAAACACAACCCCUAUAAACUCGUGUGGUCACAAUAGACUCACCAACCGGAGUUGAUAUAGAGAAUGACUCAGGAAGCUGUUUCGGUUCUAUCCCAAAUUCCAUAGCAACAUAAGGAGUAACAUAGUACAAGGUGGAACCGAGAUCAAUAAAAGCAUAUACAUCAUGAGAUUGGAUAGUCAAUAUACCUGUGACAUCAUCUAGAGAAACCUCUGCACUCUGGCGACCACUCAUAGCAUAGAAAUGGCUGGGUCCUCCUGAACUCUGCGCAGCACCCCUAGCUGCACCACGCCCUGCUGGUGCUAGAGUGCCUCGAGCUGGAGGGGGUGCUGAAGAUGUAGCAGCUGCAAAAUGGAUGGUUGUAUUGUGCCCCUGCCCGCACCCUGGCGGAAUGAAUGACACUCUCUUUGAAUAUAACCCCUUCAAUCCGCACCCGUAACAUAUAGGUAGGUCCAUGUAGCAGAUCCCUAAGUGCAUCUUCCCACACCAGGGGCAUGGGCCUCCGCUGCUGCUGGAAUCUCCCUCCUGAUCGGCCCUACUGUUGGGGUCCCCUGCAGCCCUGAUUGGGCCCGAAAUGACUCCCCUACUGCUGACUGGACCCUGCUGGUGGUGCACUGGUUGAAGACUGAGCAAAAGACUAGGAUGGCCCUGAUGACGCUCCCCUAAAAGCUGAUCUUCCCCCACCAAAUGACUCCCCAAAGUUGCCCGCGGACCGGGCCUUGCUGGUACCCUCUCCCUCCAUUAUGUUCUUCAACUUACGGUUCUCUGUAGCUUGAGCAAAUGCUACCAUCUUCCCAUAGUUCAUAUUUGAAUUCAAGGCAGCAGUAGCGACCUCAUUGAUAACCAAGGGGCUAAGGCCCUGCACAAACCGGCACACUCUAACCUCCAUAAUAUGCAACAUGAGAAUGGCAUAUUUAGACAGAUGUGCGAACUCCAUGUGAUACUCCCAUACACUCUUAAUUCCUUGCUUAAGGUUCUCAAACUCUGCGGCACGGGCUUCCCUAGUCUCGGCCGGCAAGAAAUGGUCCAUGAAAGCGUCAGCAAACUCACUCCACCUCGCUGGAGGGCACCCCUCCUCCCGAGAGUCCUCCCACAGCUUAAACCAAGAAUAGGCCACCCAUUUCAGGUGGUAGGCGGCCAACUCCACUCCCUUCGUCUUUGUAGCGACAUAACCCGGAGAGUCUUAUGCAUCUCAUCAAUGAAGUCAUAUGGAUCCUCCUCGAGAUUAGCACAUGUGAACACCGUAAGAUCCAACCGAAGAAACUUGUUCACCUUGGAACCACUAGAAUCCCCUUGUUGGCUAGAAGAAGUGUGUGCAAUAUUUGAUCUCUGGGCUUGAGAAGCCACUAUCUAUAUCAGCAUCUGGAUAGAUCCCCAUAGUUCCUAAAUGUCCAAGUAGCUUCCAACUUAUAGAUGUGGUUCACAACACAAAGAUAAGGAGGACUCUACUAGACACGGCUCUGAGACAUCCUAGGACACUUUAAAAUCUUAGGCUCUGAUACCAAGUUUGUCAUGCCCCAAACUCGGAAAGCGCGCCCGGCGUCCAACCGAGUGAACCCAAUCAAGCAAGCCUGUUAGACGCUUUCUACCCAAUGCACCCAUGAUCAAGAGAAGACAUAAUUUCGUUAAUUAGACAGUAGGGAGAUCAUGUACACAAUACUAAAUCAUUUCAUUAAUUACUUCACUUUUAAGUCUCAAAAAACACAUAUUCUUAUAGUUUGAGUGGAACAAGUGAUCAAAACAUAACAUAACUUGUUUGACUUUUCUAGCACCUAUGUACAACCCACAUGGUGUCUACGAAGCCUUUAAAAGAUACAAAAGAGUGUUAUGAUAGUGCCGGCAAUAAGACCCUGGCUAUACCUCAAAACGUGAUAAUAAUAUGAACAAAAGAUACAAUACNNNNNNNNNNNNNNNNNNNNNNNGGCCAAAGGGAUGUUAGUACUGUCGAAUAGUACUAGUAUGUAAAACUAAACACCAUCUAAAUAGAAUAAAUAAUAAUACAAGGGGAAACAAUCAAGAAUUCAAUAAGAGCUUCAAAUAAUACUAAAACAUAAAGUUAAGGAUCACAUAAGUUUUCAAGUCAAUUUCCAUAUUAUUAGGUUUUGUGAUCUUUAGUGCCGAUCUACCAUAUUUCACAAUACCACCGUAUUCUGACACGGAGUCCGAUCACGACCCGAUCGGCUAGGUUGUCUCAUUUGAAACAUCAACCAUAACCGUAAUUUCAUUAUAAUUUCCAGCACAGUCACCACUAUGUGUGCGGCAUGGCGUCCGGUCACUGCCCGGUCGGCUAGGCCGUCUCACCCGAGACAUUACCUUUUUCAGUCAAUCAUCUCACAUCAUACUUCUUUCACAUCCUUUCAAUUCAUUGGCACUAGUGGCCACAAUUAUAAAGUUAUUCUUGGCCGUAUUUCAUAAUUCCAGUUCCCUUUUCCACAUUCAAACAUCAUUAUCAUUAUCAACAACAGUAAGGCUUCCCAUUCAAGACAUUAAAUUCACAUAUGAGCAAUUUGGGAAUCUUAGGCACAUAGAGGCUUUUCAUACAAUUUGGAUAUAAUAACCUUUAUUUUGAUCUUGACUUGAAGUCUUAACAUUUUUACCACAUAUUCUAUAUUUUGAACACAUCUUCAAUGAUAAGGUGGUAUGAUGAAGAAUUUACAAUACAUAUUGAGCAUAUAUCCUUUAACACAGGCACAUUCAGAAUAGCCAAUUCUAUUAUGAUCAAUUUGGGACUUACACCGAUUACAUGAACACAAUGGGAUUCGAUUCUAAGAAGAAGGGGGUUUAGCCAACAUAUCUCAAUUAAGCUUCCUUUAAACUUUAAAACGUUUUGUAAUUCUUAGCAACUUCAAUCUAUUUUAGAAAUAUAACAAGUUGGACCAAAAUUAGGAAGAUGGUUAUGAUUCUAGCUCAUUUGAGCACAUUAUCAAACAGUAGGUUUGCAUUAUUGUUUUUAAGGCCCUUCUAUAAAAGAUUCAUUCAUUCUCCAACCCAUUCUCUUUCAUUUUUAGCUCACAACCUUCCCGCAUUCUUUGAUAACACAUGCAUGCAAGAUAACAACCCCCACACAUGUCUUUCUAAUUAUCCCAUUUUUUGUAAAUUUUCGAAAUUGAUAGCUAGGACAUAGAUUCUUACCUCUAGGAUGAAUACUUUCUUUGUUAAUCCUCAAUGGUUGAGCAAGAAUUGAUGGAUAAUAGGUUGAAGGUUACUCCCCCACACUAAGCACUCUUUCUCACUCUAAAAGUAUUAGAAAUUUGCUAAAAUUUGACUAUGGCAUAUGUUUUAUCGAAGUAGGGAUGGGGUACAAAAACCCAAAAAUGAAGCCCCGGGGCAGGAUCUGCGGUCUGCGAAAUGACCACGAAAAAUGGCCUUUGGAAUUGGGAUGGCCUACUUCACUCUGCGGCCGUUAUGCGGCCCGCAGAACCUCCCUCCGCAAAAAUUCUAAGGCUGAUUGUGUGACAAAAGUGCGGCCCGCUAAAUGGUUGUGUUGUCGCAUAACUAGCCGCGAAAAUAUCAUAAAAAUGGCCCAAGUAGCAGCUUCACUCUGCGGCCCGCAGAGUGAUUAUGCGCCCAUAUAAUGGGCCGCAGAAAUGCCUAUCUCUGCAAAAUAUUUUUCUUCAACUCCCCAGUGCGCUGUUCAAUCUAAAAAGUUUGAACCCCGGUUUUUAGGAAUAGUCCUAAGAAUUUCUACUAUUAUUAACUUCUAUGCCUACCCCGACUUCACGGAACUCGGUUUUUAGGAAAUAUUUUACGGGGCCUUACAGUAGUUAUUUGGGCUUAGGCUCACAUAAUUUGUGUUUCAAGACUAUGACUCCAGAGAUGGUCUUUAGUCACUCAUUGAAUGAUAAAUCAUUUUUAACAAAAAUAUUUCUUUUAUAUUGAUAUAAUAAUUUUCUUAUGUCAUAAACAUCUUGAUACAUUUUCUUAUAUCAUAUUCGUUCAUUAAAUCAAUUCUUUAUUGAUCUAGUCAAUUCUUUCGCUUUACCCAUUACACACUAAGAUUAUCUGAGGAGAAUUCUUCCUCCACUUUUUGGUCAAAUUACUUACUAACUAUUUAUUCAUGUGCAAAUAAAUAUUCUUUCCCCUUUUUCUCAAUCCUUUAGUAUAAGUUUUUUCUUGUUGUAGUCAUCCAUUUAAAUUUUAAGCUCUAAUUAUGAGUUAUACCUCUUCAAGUUUAUUCUUGUAAGUUCAAGAUUUUCUUCAAACACUUUGACUUAACAUGCACUCUUUGGGUACCAUUCUUUUUAUACUAUUCAAUUGACACUAAAGUACCAUCCUUUAAAUAUUUUAAUUCUUUUACAUACUACAUUUUGUUGCAUAUACGUUUCGUCAAAUAUUUUACUCUUCUUUACCAAGAACUCACUUUCAUACUUAGUUUACUCUUUGGAAUAUGAUUCCCUUCUACACUAUAUAUAUUUGAUACAAGUCAACAUAUUUUAAUCAUUUCAUUUAAGAAACACAAAAGUACUUGCAUACUUCAUUCGCUCACAAUUCAUUACAUAUUUGAUAUCAUUAAUAUCAUUAAUAUUCGUUUGAGUAUACGUGAGUCAUUCUCUUAUUCUUCAUAAUAGUUGUUGAGUAUUUGUUAGUUAUCUUUGAACCUUCCCUCCCUUAUUUGAUCGUGUCUACCAGAACCAUAAUUUGUGGAUCUUGAGGGGUACCUAAUACCUUCCCGUCGAGAUAAUUUGGACCCUUGCCUGGAAUCUCAACUGGUUACGUAGACUGUAAUUAAAGCAUAUAUUACAUAGUGUUGAUAUAGGUGUCCUAGUAUACCUUGAAUACUAGAUGGCGACUCUAAACUUCAAUUAACCUUGUAGAGUACUAUAAGUUGUAGUUUGUUUUGACUUGUGCAAAAUAUGGUACAAUAACAUGGACUCUGCUGGGGAUACUUCAGGUUCUAACCACAGCGGAUUUGAUCAAUUGCUUUAGGGAUUACAGGUUCUCUAAUACUCCAAAUUCUAUUCUUUCUGUCGUUUGCUUCAAAUCGUGUAUUCUCUGCUUCAAGUUGUAUAUUUUUUGCUUCAACCUCUAUAUUCUUUGCAUUAAGUUGUAUAUUCUUUGCUUCAAGCCGUAUAUUCUUCGUCGCAUGCGUCAAGUAGUCUAUUCUUUGUCAUGCGCUUCAAGCGGUAUAUUCUUGUUAUGCAUUUCAAGCAGUAUAUUCUAUGUCACACGCUUCAAGCGGCGUAUUCUCUAUAAUGCUCAUGUUGUAUAUGCUUCUCACAUGUCUAUGUUAUAUAUUCUGUUACAUAUGACUGUGUUGUAUAUUCUUUGUCAAAUGCUUUUGAUGUUACCUUAUUAAAUUGUCAUCACUUUUCUAUCGACUCUUGGUUGUACACAAUGACACACAAGUCACAUGAGGGUUGUUGUCACGACCCAGAAUUUCUAUCCUCUGGGUCGUGAUGGCGCAUAACAUUUCACUUGCUAGGCAAGUCAACGUUAGAAUAGUUUUUAGCCAUUUUUAACAAAUCAAAUUAACUAAUACCAAUUAAACUGUAAUAACUAAAAUAGAACUGAAAUAGAGUGUGAAAAUCCAUAAUAACCGCAAUAUCUAGAUACAAUCCCAGAACUGGUGUUACAAGUGCACGCGCGACUAGAAUAAUACAGAUAGUGGUCUGAAUGAAAGUAAAACUAUCUGAAAUGAAAUAAACAGCUAGAAUAAGGUAGAAUGGGACAUUAGGGCUACGAAUGUCGAGCAGCUAUACCUCAAGUCUCCAAUCUGGAUAUCAAUAUGAGCAAUCUAUUGAUCGCCGCUAGGACCGAUUCCAAAAUCUGCACAAGAAGUGCAGAGUGUAGUAUGAGUACAACCGACCCCAUCUACUCUGUAAGUGCCGAGCCUAACUUCGAUGAAGUAGUAAUGAGGCUAAAGCGGGUCACUUACAAUAAUCUGUACGCAGUAUAAUAAUAAUAGGAAAGAAAUGUGGGAAAAGUAAGGCAGUUAACUUAUGAAAAUAAACUCAACCCUUGAAAUCAGUAAAGCCAGAAACACCUGUACUCAGAAUCUCGUAUGAAAGCAUUGAAAGCUAACACAAUACGACAAUGAAUACAAAACACACAAUCUGUUGUGGCGCGCAACCCGAUCCCACAGUACAAACACAAUCCUCCCUUAUUUCACCUGUUGGGGAAAGCAACACGAUCCUACAGUACAAAUAUAAUCCUCCCUUAUUUCACCAUAUCAAUAUCAAUAAUAACAUGUCGCGCAACUCGAUCCCACCAUAUAAUCAGAGUCAAUAUCAUAUUCCUCCCUUAUUUUACCAUAUCAAAGUCACAUAUAAAAUUCGUUGCGGCGUGCAACCCGAUCUCAUCAUAUCAAUAUCAAUCCUCCCUUAUUCCCCCCGUUGCGGCGUGCAACCCGAUCCAUAAAUAAAAUCAACAAAUGUAAGCAAUUCAACAACCCAAUUCACAAGAAUCUCUACGAUUAAAGAAUCUAAAAAAUAAGCCAUAAAAGGACCUCGUACAAAAUCAAGGAAUGCUACAAUUAAUACAAGAAAUUGGACAAGUCAAAUAUAUGACAACUAAAGUGUACAAGUAAGAUAAUUAAGGCAAGUAGCAAUUAAUCAUGGAAGCAUAUGAGGACCGAACUGUAACGACCCGACCAGUCACUUUGAGCUCUAGCACUUCGUUCUACGGAUUGAGGCCUCGAGUAGCUUCACUUCAUGUUUUAUGACUUGUACGUGUGGUCGAAAUUGGAUUUCGGGAAGUUCGUAGUUGUUUCGAAAGGAAAAUACUCAAUUUAGAAGCUUUAAGUUGGGAGAGUUGACCGGGGUUUAACUUUUGAUCAAACGACUCCGGAAUGGAAUUCUUAUAAUUUCAAUAGCUUCGUAUGGCAAUUUCGGACUUAGGCGUGUGUCCGGAUUUGGAUUUGGAAGUCCGUAGGACAAUUCAACACAUUUUAGUGAAAAGUUGGAAAGUUGACUUGGUUGAUAUCGAGCUCGUAUUUUGAUUUUGGAAAUUGGAACAGUUCCAUUAUGUCCAUUAUGACUUGUGUGCAAAAUUUGAAGUCAUUCCGAAUUCAUUUAAUACGCUACAAUGCAAAUUAUAGAAUUUGGAAAUUUCAUAACUCAUAAUUCGAUUCGAGACGCGAUUCAUAGUUUUGGUAUUGUUUGAUGUGAUUUGAGGCCUUGAAUAAGUUUGUAUCAUGUUUUUGGACUUGUUGUUAUGAUUUGAUGGGUUACCGAAGGGUUUAGGUGUAUUUUGGAUCAUUGGUUGAGAGACUAGUAAAGUUAAAAAUUUGGAGUUUGAUCAUGGUGAAUAUCGGGUCAAGACGGCCUCUUUUACGUGUUUUGAGUGUGCGAUCGGGUCCAUAGCGUAUUUUAUGAUUGAAAUUCACAUAUGGUUUGUGUCCGUAGCGAUCGGGGUGCUUUCGGAUUAUUUUGGAGAAGUUUGGGUUUGCUGGUUUCUGGUGAGGCACUGUUCAUUCGCAAUUGUGAACACUGUUUAUUCGCAAUUGAGAACACUAUCCAUCGCAAUUGCGAACACUGUACAUUGGAGCUUAAAGUUCAUUCGUAAAUGCGAAGGUUUUGUCCGCAAAUGCGAACCUGGGCAGAAGACUUAAAGAUCGAAACUUGGUCAUUUUUCCAUUUUCGUUUUGGAUUUUGGAUCUCGGAUUUUGGGCGAUUUUGAGGAGUUCUACAUGACUUGGACUUGGGUAAGUAUUUUAUAUCCUAAAGUGAUUAUAUUUCAUGAUUCAAUGGUUAUAUUCAUGAAUUAUUAGUGAAUUAAUUGGAAGAAAAUGAUAUUUUUGGCAAAAUCUUUCAAAAACGAAAAAAAUGAAGAUUUGGAGGUCGAUAGAGAAAGACUACAAAAGGUGCAGGCAGAAAUAAUCAGAUAUCUUGCUAUUGAAGAAGAAUUCUGGAAACAAAAGUCAGGAAUGCAAUGGUUCAAGGAUGGAGAUAGAAACACUAAGUUCUUUCAUAUACAGGUUAAUGGUCAAAGGAAAUUACUCCAGCUCAAAAGGAUCCAAUAUAGUGCUGGAAAUCAGAUAGAAGAAAAGGAUGAAAUGGCUGAGGAGGCAGUUCGAUUUUUCAAGGAUCAGUUCACAGAAACAACUAUCCCUUCAACAUUUGGCAUAAUUGAUCAUGUACCAAGAUUGAUAGAGAUGGAACAGAAUGCAGAGUUGAUCAAAUAGCCAACUAAAGAGGAGGUCAAGAUAUCUGUUUAUGGUCUUAACGGAGAAAGUGCUGGAGGUCUAGAUGGAUUCACAUGCAGUUUUUAUCAUGCUUGCAGGGAUAUCAUUGGGGAUGACAUUUUUGAUAUGGUUCGAGCUUAUUUCAAUGGCCAAGAGUUGCCCAAAUGUGUUACACACACAAAUCUGGUUUUAUUGCCAAAGAAGAAAGAGGUGACAACAUUAUCAGACAUGAGGCCCAUAAGCCUUAGCAACUUCACCAACAAAAUCAUCUCAAGGGUGAUAUAUGAGUGGUUAGUAGGAUUGCUUCCUAACAUAAUAUCUAAGGAGCAAGCUGGAUUUGUGAAGGGGAGGAACAUUGUUGAAAAUAUGCUUCUAGCUCAAGAAAUUAUAACGGACAUUAGGUUAAGAACUAAGGUUGGACCUAAUGUAGUUAUUAAGCUUGAUAUGACCAAAGCGUAUGAUAGACUUUCUUAGUUAUUUUUGACAAAGGUAUUAAGGAAGAUGGGGUUUAGCGAGAGAUUCAUAGGGCUUGUGCUUGGAAUUGUCUCAAACAAUUGGUAUUCGGUACUCAUAAAUGGACAACCUCAUGGGUUUUUCAAAUCAACUAGAGGUGUCAAGCAAGGGGAUCCAAUCUCACCGACUUUAUUCAUUUUGGCUGCUGAAGCGUUGUCCAGGGGCUUAAAUACUUUGCAUUUGAAUCCAUAUUUUUGUGGAUUUGGAUUACCUAAGUGGAGUCCUAAAAUCAAUCACUUAUCAUAUGCGGAUGAUACCAUUAUCUUCUCCUCUUCAUGCACUAUUUCUUUAUAAUUGGUGAUGGAGGUCUUAAGAGCAUAUGAAGCUGCAUCCGGACAGUUGGUGAAUAAGAGUAAAUCAGCCAUGUAUAUGCAUUAUUCUGCUAGCAUGGAGGUAAUUACAAAGGUGGAAAGGAUCACUGGAAUUAGUAGACAGGAAUUUCCAUUUACGUAUUUAGGAUGUCCUAUCUUUUACGCUUGGAGGAAGAUGAAUUACUAUCAAGAAUUGAUCACUAAAGUGAUGGAUAAACUGCAAGCAUGGAAUGUUAAAUUGUUAUCCAUAGGUGGUCGAGAAGUGUUGAUCUCUCAUGUGCUUAAAAGCAUGCCCAUUCAUUUACUAUCAGCAGUUAAUCCUCCAAAUAAUGUCAUCAACAAAUUGCACAAGAUUUUUGCUCAAUUCUUCUGGAGCAGUUCUAUAGGUGGCAGUAGUAGACAUUAGGCUUCUUAGAAUAAUUUGUGCAUGCCAUGUGAUGGGGGGGAGCAUUGGUUUUAUAUCUUUACAUAAUGUUUCAAAGGCUCUAUUCUGUAAAUUGUGGUGGCAUUUUCGAACUAAGCCAAGCCUUUGGAGUGCCUUUAUGAGUCAAAAAUAUUGCAAGAAACUAAAUGCGGUGAUAUUACCAUGGAGGGCGGGGUCUCAGAUUUGGAAGAAGAUGUUGGAGUGCAGGGAUUUAAUUGAACACCAAAUUACUUGGUUUCCAAAGAUGGGAUCCUCUCAUUUUUGGUUUGAUAACUAGACGAGACUGGGGGCUUUAUAUUUCCUUGUUCCUCAACAGUGUGGAGUAGAUGAAAUAGUCCAUAAUGUGUAUGAUGUGAUGGAUGAUAGUGUGUGGAAUGCAGAUAAAAAUUUGGAGAUAUUGCCAGAAGAAUUUGCAGAGCAUAUUCUUCUGCAUAUGAAGCCUCCAAUGGUGCAUGAUGUUCUAGAGAAGCCUCAAUGGAUGCUGGAAACAAGGGGAGAGUUCAGUGUAAAGUCAGCAUGGGAAUACUAGGGAACAAGAAAUGAACCUGCCAAUGCUUAAAAGAAAAUAUGGGUGAAAGGCCUGCCUUUCAAGAUUCCUUUCUUCAUGUGGAAAGUAUGGAGAAAUAAGCUGCCUUUGGAUGAUUUUUUUCAGGAGAGUGGGAUACCUAAUGGCUUCUAAAUACUGGUGUUGUGCUGAACCAAAGGACGAGACAAGGCAGCAUCUCUUCUUUACAUCAUAUGCUACUAAUAGAGUGUGAAAAUAUUUUCUUAGGCAUGCAGGUAUUGCAUUGGAUGGGAUUACAUUUUAUCAAGUUGUGACCAAGUGCUGGACUACUUAUGUGAUUCUUAGAUUGCAGCCUAUUGUGCAGGCUUUACUAGCUGUUAUUGUGUGGGAGUUAUGGAAGAGAAGAAACAUCUACAAAUAUAGAGAUGCAGUAUCUAUAAGUAGAGUCAUCUAUCAGGUUUCCACGACUAUGGAAUCCUUAGUCAGAGUUAGAAAUCCAGGCCUGCAAAAUGUACCACAUAAAUGGACAGAACCGCUGAAUAUGAUGAAGGCCUAUAUACCUAAACUGAAGGUUACUAAGGUGAUGUGGGAAUAUUUUAGUCCAGGGUGGAUCAAGGUUAAUACAGAUAGGGCUUCUAGGGGAAAUCCUGGAAGAAGUUCCAUUGGUUUUGUGCUACAAAAUGAGGAGGGCGAUGUAAUGUAUGGAUGUGGAAAGGAGGUACAUGAAGGGACAAAUACUAAAGCUGAAGCAAAGGCAAUUUUGGAAGCCUUGUGGUUUUGUGUGGAAAAUGCCUAUGUGCUUAUUGAGCUUCACACUGAUUCAAUGAUGCUCAAAAAUGUGAUAAGUAGAGAAUGGAGUGUGCCAUGGACCAUUACUGCACAGGUAAAGGAGAUUAAGGAAAUGAUGGCAAGAAUCAACGUAACAGUGGCCCAUACAUUAAGGGAGAAAAGUAGAUUGGCUGAUCAUCUAGCUAAUUAUGCAUUAGAUGUUGGAUCUAUUGAGGCUCACUGUUUUUGGGAGCUAGAUAAUCAAGGGAGGAGGAUAGUGAAUAAUGAUAAAUUACAAUGCCUGUAUCUAAGAGUAAAAGCAGCAAGAAAUUAGGAGGAGAGGACAUAACAAGGAGGAGUAACAGGCUGGAAACAACUGCAGAAAUAUGGUUACUUGAAGCAAUGAGGAUUGAAUGCAGUUUGGAGUUAACAGGAUCAAGGGGUGUGUUGUGGAGAAAGCUAAUGCACCCAAUAGCAUUGACAUCACAUACAGGGAGCCAGGCGAAUAGCUGUGCAGAAUAAUAUGUUGCUGCAGAUCAUCAUACUAAAGUCUUUAGGGAGGAGGAGAUGAUGAUCUUUUUUUAUACUAACUUUGUGUUCUUUUUUGCAGGGAUCUUUACUGUAUUCAUGUCCUACUAUCUGCUACAAAUUCAAAGGGUGGUAUUAGCAGUUGAUACUCAUUCCCUUGAAGGAGUAUUAAUAGUAGUCAUAAGCAUGGAAACAUGUAAAAUUCUGUCCAGAAAGUUAAUCGACAGGGGAUUUUGGCAGUCGAAUAUGGGAACAAUGGGUGCAUUGUGUUGCAAAACACCAAUACACCUUAUUAGUUCUACAUCCAAGAAUAGUUCCAAUCAAUGGUUACCAUAGAUUACUACUGGAGAUCACACGAUCAUACGUCUAAAUAUGGGAUAUGCAAGAGAAAGCUGCCUAGAAGCUUAAUCGAUUUACUACAUGACUUGGGCUUUAAGAACUCAAACUUGGGAGCACUGGAUGCAUCGUGGAACAUCACCCUAAUGAAUAUCAGUACCUCUACAUUCCAAGAAUGGUGCCAACUAUUGACAUCAACAGAUGGCUGCUGGAGAUCACACGACUACCUGCUCAAACUGUGUAUACUCACACAUGCUCGAAAAUGCUGGAACUUAGUCUCAUUGAGAAGCAAGUAUAGCUGUCCAAGAAACUGUGAGAAUGCAGUUACAUUACUGGAUACUAGGAAUCAUGACAGUCAAAUAAUACUAAGGGAUAGGAUUGGCAGAGGGUAAGGAUAGUCACGAUAUUUUUCUGGAAAGACGAGGGUGUUCCAACACAGUAGGCUUUGCAAUAGAAGUUGCUACAAAUUAUGUGGAUGAUCGUAGGAGUUACACACUUGAGGAAGAUGCAGAUACAGGUUUGCAAAUCAAUUUGAAAGAUUCAUGACUGAUUUCAUUAAGUUCAUAGUUGAUACAACAAAGGGAAGAUAGUCAAAAUUGCAACAAAAGAAGGCUACAUAUGGGCUUCAAUUAUGAAGAUUUAGCAUGGCUAGUUUUUAUAAAACAGUUUCACUGCUUUAUUAGCCUACUUUUUGUGAUAUCAGUGUCGAGCACAUUGCCCAACAUUGAUAAUAGGAAUUAUAUAUUCGUCAAAGUAUAUUUCUUUCAUCUUGUAAGACCUCCUUGACACUUUAUUUUAUUUUGAGUUUUAUAUAUAAAAAAACUAGCCCUAGGCACCUUGCCAAUGGAUUUGCUAAAAACAAAAUUGACAAAGAAAAUAUUGAUUAAGUCAAAAAUUCAAAAAAUUAUAUAUAUCAAGUCAAAUCACAAAAUAAUUGAUUAAGUCAAAAAUUCAAAAAUAAAGUAUAUAUGUUAAGUAAAAUUAAAAAAAAAAAGAAGAAAGAAAGAAAAUAGAGGAAAAAUCAUCAAAUAUUGACUUGGUUGGUAUUAACACAGUUAGGACUGUACAUGGGAAAGUAACAGGUAUAUAUGUGGUAUGAUGGAGAGAUACAACUUCGGGAAAACCAUAGACUCUUGUGGUACCUCUCAAUUAUGCCUUGGUGAUGCUUGAAAAAUCUCGUGCUUACAGUUAGGGUAAGAACAAAUCCGACCUCAUCAUUUCAUGUGUAAUGUGUGGUGAGCCUAGAUUAAAUUUAUUGCAUUGCAUUGUAGAUCUAGAACAUGGCCCUAAUAUUUAUUAAGGCGAAAUACUGAGUAACUCUUGAUUUAGGAAUGAAUCGUAGGCCUUCUUUGACCGGAUUGAGCCUUUCUAGCCCACCAAAUGAUGUUGAUCCCUAGCAUUUCCCCCUUUGAGCAUUAAGCCUUUUUUCUUUGGACAAUCGUGUCUUAGGCUACACACUUUUUUAUGCUAAAUGCACUACCCCUCUCUUGGCCCGACCUCCUCCAUCGCACUAGAAACGUGCAAUUUCGGAUGAAGACCAAAUUGAAGGUGACAAGCAUGAAAAGAAAAAGAUACAAAGUGCAAGACAAUCAAAAGAUGACUUCAGGAAAAAAAAAGGGGAAGCGAGAACUCCACAAAGUCUAAAGGAGGAAUUUUCUCAAAUUCGAUGAAAAAUCCCAUAAAAGGGAGAAGACUCCACAAAUUCAAAGAGGAGGUACUCCAACAAAAGAAGGAAAAAACUACUGCAAAGUAGAAGAAACUUCAAAAGAGAAACAAAUAUAUAUAAAGAGAAACAAAUCCCAAAAAGGAAGCGGAACCUCCUACAAGUUCAAUAAGAAUUCAAAACAAAAGAAAGGAACAUCGAACCGAACAAAAUCAAGCGUCGAAACAAGGUUUGAACGUCGAAGGCACGGAUACAGUGCAGUGCUUAAGGAGGAAUUAGUUACUUUUAGCCUAGAUAAACAUCCUACCCGUCCCCAGCCGACUUUACAAGACAAUAACAAAGCCCUAAAUGAUCCUACUCCAAGUGUUCUCACAUUAGUGGAUACUCCUAUAAAGGUCCAUCAUAUGGUGUCUCAAUCACAUGCAUUGAAUAUGUAAUGACCCCACCGCUCUUUUUUAGCUCUAGCACGUCGUUGGGUAGUUUGAGGCCUUGAGUAGCUUCAUUUCAUAUUUUAUGACUUGUACGUGUUGUCGGAAUUGAAUUUCGGGAAGUUCGGAGUUGAUUCAGAAGGAAAAUUCUCCAUUUAGAAGCUUUAAGUAGGAAGAGUUGAUCAAGGUUUGACUUUAGAGUAAAUGACCUCAGAAUCAAUAUUUUAAAGUUCCAAUUGGUUCGUAUGAUGAUUUCGGACUUGGGCGUAUGUUCGGGUCGAGUAUAGGGUGGUCCGUGAGCAUUUCGACACUUUUUAUGGAAAGUUGGCAUUUUGAAAGUUUUAGAAUUUUCUAAGUUUGAUUUGAAGUGGACUUGGGUGUUAUUGAUGUCUGUUUGGGGUUCCCAGUCUUAGAAUUGGUUCGUAUCAUAAUUUGUGACUUGUACGUAAUGUUUGGCAUCGUUCUAAUAUGUUUAAGUAUGGUUCGGACUCGUUCGUCAAAGUUUGAGUAUUUGAAAGUUGAAAGAAGGAUUUUGAUCGUCGAUUCGUAAUUUUGAUGUUACUCGUGGCGUUUCGAGCCUUUGGAAAAAUUCGGAUAAGGUAUUGGGACUUAUUGGUAUGAUUGGACGGGGUCCCGGGGGCCUCGGGUGAGUUUCAGGGUAUUUUCUGAUCAUUUCUCAAUUUUUUUGCUGCAGCUGGUUCUGGUGUUGUUCAUCAUGAAUGCGUAGGGUUACUCGUGUUUACGAAAAAGGAUUUGAGGUGGAGGAUUUUUGUUCAACGCGUUCGCAAAGGUGUGGGCCGAUGUGUACUGCGUUCGCGAUAGGCUAUCGCAUUCGCGUAGGGUCAAAGGUUGGGCCUAGAAGCUUGGAUUUCGCGUUCGUGAUGGAGUGGUCACAUCCGCGAAGAGAUGGCCUGGUGUAGCAUUGCGUUCACGACCCUUGUCUCGCGUUCGUGUAGAGGAGUUUUGGAGUUGGAAUAGGUUACUCUUCGCGAAUGCGAUGGUAAGGUCGCGUUCACGAAGAAGGCCGGGCUGGGCAUUGUUGUUUUAAAUUGGGGGUUUGGCUCAUUUUCACUUCAUUUCUUCCACGGGAGCCGACUAUGGAGUGAUUUUGGAGUGCCAUUUUCAUCAACAAUCAUGAUUCGUGGAAGAAGUUGAGUCAGUUAGUAAUGGUUUGAAUCAGCAUGGUUGUGGAAAUGAUCAGUUCCUUCGGUGUGUUAAGCUAUACAGGUGAUUCGUGGUUGUACAUGAAGUCUUGAUAGCCACCUUAAUUUGAUUGAUUUGGCAACAUUUGAUUCUGAUGGCCUUGUUAUGUGUAAAUGGAUCCCGAAAGAGUUAUGGCGGUUUAGACUACGACUUAAGGUUUGCAUUUUCCGCGAUUAUAGGAAUUUGGUGGCAUGUUGCAAUUGUUCUUUUGAAAUGAGGUAAAUAUAGGGUUUCUAGCCGAUGAAGUAUUUAUUCUACUGGUGGCUCAAUGGUCGUGAUGAAAUUCUUGUGAUCUCGCAUAGCAGCAUGAUAGGUGCGGUGAGUAGUAUUGAAAUUUAGAAGUUCAGGAUCAAGGUUGCGGUUCUGUUCUGAUGAGAAUGUCACAACCUCGGAAGAGCGGGGGAGGAUUUCAGAUGUUUGGAGUAUGUUGGCACUAUUUUAGGAUAGCCUAAGGAUGAUCUAUUUGUGGAAGAGGUGUUGGGUAUUGAAAUGUUGAUGCUCGGCUAAAACUAUAGAAAUAGCAUGGUCGAUGACCAUUGACAUUCAAAUUUUGCUACCUGGUGCGGAAUGUUGUGGGAGUAUAUCCCAGGGAAGAUCGUAUAAGUGUGACGUGUUAGUCAUUUGAUUGUUGGAGAUUGAAAUCAGUUAUGGAGAUUUUGGUACCGUUUCAAAUGAGAGAGUUUAUGCGUGAGAGGCACUCUACUCCUUUGGUUGUGGAUUGUGGGAUUUUGUUCCGGAUUGGACGGUUGCUCGUGUGUGUCCCGAAUAGGUCAUUAUGGAUCCUUGCAAGGUUAUUGUCCCAGUAUGAGAUGAUCGGAAUCGGCUUGAGGUUCGUUGGUUAGUCUAAUGUGAAUGGGUGCUCUAUAUCAGGUCGGAUGUGUUCUUUCAGUAUAGCAUUGCUUAUGGAGGAUUCUUCAGGCAUUGGAUAUUAUUCUUAUCAUCAGCUAUUCUAUGUAACAAUCUAAUAUUCCAUAUGGGUUGUGAGACGGCUUGACUAUUCGCAUAUGUGUUGUGAUCCCGAGUAGCUUGUGGCGUUAAAUGAGCAAGAUGGCUCUCGAGAUGCCAGUCAUUUAUUGCACCUUAGUCGUGCUUGAUUUUAGUAGCAUGGCACCAUUCUUCUCCCUAUGAUUGUAUUUACACACUUGGCAUGCUUGUGGUCGAUAUAGGGAAUUUCGUGGGUAAGAGCAUUCUGUCUCAAUAGGUAUUUCCUUGUAGAUUGUUAUGUGUGGAUCGGGUGGCAUGCCACCAUGGGUAUGAUGUUUGGACCGGGUAGCACGCCGCAACGGUAUCAUGUGUGGAUCGGGCUGCACGCCGCAACAAUGAAAUGUUGAGUACGGUUCCUUAUACUUAUUUUGUGUGCCUUGUUUCUCAUCUCUAAGAUAGGUUCAUAGCAUCUGUUCGGCCGUUUUAUUCGUUACACAGGCUGGGUAGUUCUUUGCUAGAGUUCAUUCUUCCUUAUAGGUCAUAUGCGAGUUGUAGCAGGCUGGCGCAUUGAUGGCGUCAUAUGAGAUUGUAGUUGGUAUUUAAGGUGGCUUAUUGCCCGAGCCGUUUGGACUGGGUGAGAUGUGGUUAUUGGACAUGAGAUCAGUGCAAUCGGAUUAUGUAGGGUAUAUUAAAGAGAAAAUGUCACUAUUCAGUUCAGAAUGAGGUAAUGGUUCUUGUCAAGCGGAGAGACUCCAUGCUUUAUUGAUUUGGCAGGUAAUUAUGAGCUUUUACGGGUCGCUUUCAUCUUUGCAUUAUCGCGAGGGUUGGAUCAGGGCUUAUGCGCAUUAUGAGGUAUACUACGGGCAUCACGUAAAUGGAUUUACAGUUUCUACGAUUAGAGGAUGUUAUUAUGGGCAUUCGAAUUAUGCGGUGCAUUGUAUGGUUCCAGCAUUGGUGAAUGAUCAUAUUUGGUACAGCGGGUUGAGAUUGAUACGGUGUUCGUAUGUUAGAAUCAGAUCUCGUAAGGUAUUCCGAACGUUGGAAUUCUGUUCUAAGGCUUUUAGGCUAAGGUAGCAGGAAAGGAUCUUAAGUCUGGCUCGAUCUCAUGUGCUCACAUGGGCUGUGUUGGCACGGGUAGGUGUACGAGGUGUUAAUCAGUGAUUUUGGGCAACUCUGAAACGGUUCUUGGCACGUUCGAGGACGAACAUAUGUUUAAGUGGGGGACAAUGUUACGACAUUACCGGUCGCUUUGAGCGCUAGCUUAUCGUUCAGCAGUUUGAGGCCUUGAGUAGCUUUAUUCAUGUUUUAUGACUUGUACGUGUGGUUGGAAUUGAAUUUCGGGAAGUUCGCAAUUGAUUCGAAAGGAAAAUUCUCACUUCGGAAGCUUUAAGUUGGAAGAGUUGAUCAAGGUUUUAUUUUGAAGUAACGACCUCGGAAUCGAGAUUUGAAGGUUCCAAUAGGUUUGUAUGAUGAAUUCAGAAUUGGGUGUAUGUUCGGGUUGAGUAUCGGGUGGUCCUGCAGCAUUUCGGCGCUUAUUAUGGAAAGUUGGCAUUUUGAAAGUUUUAAAAUUUCCUAAGUUUGAUUUGAAGUGUACUUUGUUUUUAUGGAUGACCGUUACCUUGGAAUAGGUUCAUAUCGUGACUUGUGACUUACAUGUGAUGUUUGGCGUCAUUUCGGAAUGUUUAAGUAUAAUUCGGACACGUUCGUCGAACUUUGAGUGUUUGAGAGUUGAAAGAAGGAUUUUAAUUUGACAGUGUCCCAGGGGCAUUUCAAGCCUUUGGAUAAGUUCGGAUAAGGUAUUUGGACUUGUUGGUGUGAUUUGACGUUGUCCUAGGGGCCUCGUGUGACUUUCAGGGUGUUUUCGGAUCAUUUCUCCAUGUUUUGGCACGUGGGUCCGAGGGUUGAAUUAGUUGACUUUUUGACCAGAGUUGAGGAUGGUUAUAAAUUGUUAAAUUAUAAGUAUGGGAGUAUAUUUUGAUUGAUUUGCACGUUGUUCGACUAGUUUCGGAUUGAUGGGCAUUGGUUUAUGGUGUUCAAGAGGCAUUAGAGCCAGUUAUGAAACUUCAGAGCGAGGUAAGUCUCCUGUGUAACCUUGUAAGGGGGAAACUACCCCCUAGGUGAUGUAUUUGAUAUGUACUACUUGUUGUGGGGGCUAGGUACGCACGAGGUAACGAGAGUCCGUACGUAGCAAGAUUCAUGUUUAUGUCCAGGUAGUGCAAUAAAUUGUAUUACUUGAAUUUAAUUGUUAGGCUAAUUAUUUGAAGGUUAUAAGUAAAAGAUGAUAAAUAUCAUGUUAGAUCAAAUCUCAAUUUCGUGAGCUAUUUUGUAAGAUAAUCGAUUGAUGGUAAAUAUCAUGUUUAUGUUACGUCUUUGGCCCUGUAUAGUAAAUACGCGAUUCGUAAGUCGUUAAGUAUCUUCUUCUCCUAGGGAUCAUCCGAACGCCUUGGCAGUAUAUGUAUAUAUAAUAUGCAUCCAUGGAUCGGGCCGUACGACCUCGGCAGUGUACGUACACGACUAUAUGGAUCGGGCCGUACGAUCUCGGUAUAAUUCGUGCGUAAAAUCGCUAGGAGUUCGAAUACCCAAGAGAUUACCCCCAUGAUUGAACUUGGAAAUUAUGUAAUAUUCUCUUUAUGACCGGAGAUCGGAUGUCUAAUUGAUGGUUCUUAUUUGUUAAGAUAGCAUGUGGUACUUGUGGAUUUUUAAAUUGAUGAUAUUUGUUAAAAGAUUUUGUUAUCUACUGUUUCCUUGUUCUAUUGAUUCUUAUUGUAUUUCAUGCCUGCUUAUGAUUCCUGCAUUCUAUUCAUUGGACCACUAGUAAGUUUUGAUGUCGACCCCUCGUCAUUACUUCUUCCGGGGUUAGGCUAAAUACUUCCUAGUCACGUAUUGAUUUACGUACUCACGCUACACUUCUGCACUGAAUGUGCAGGAUUUGACAAGUUCAUUUGGUGGUCAUCCAGGCGCAUAGGCACAAAUGCUGAGUGGACUUUAUGGUGAGCUCCUUCCUAUGCUACUCACCGCAACCCUCAAAGUCUCCAUCUUAUUCAUUUACUUUAUCCUGUCUAUUUUAUUUUUUAGACAGUUGUUGUAUUAUUAUUGCACUCUUUAGAAGACGCUCAUGCACUUAUGACACCGGAUUUUGGGAUGUUCUAGAAUUUGUUUAUGGUUUUGCUUAACAUUGACACACAUUUACUUUAUAUUUUAUCCAAAAUGUAUGUAUCUAUGAUUCUUAAUGCAUUAAUUAAUAAAAUGAAUAAGUAAGCUGGUUAUUUACCGUUGGCUUGCCUAGCGACGACGUUGGGCGACAUCACGACCUAUAGUGGGUUUUGGGUCGUGGCAGCCUCGUAUUAGAGCUCUAGGUUAACUUGGGUCUCACGGGUCAUGAGCAAUUCUAUUAGAGUCUUGUGGAUCGGUACGGAGUCGUCUGUAGUUAUCUUUGAGAGGCUACAGGUCUGUUAGGAGCACCUUCCUUCUUGAUUCUUCGUCGUGAGAUUUGAUUCCAUUGAAGCUUAUGCCUUUAUUUCCUUCCUACUCAUUCUUAUAUGAUGUUGAGAGCGUGCUAUAAAUUGGGCAUCGAGGAGUUGCAGUGGUACUGCAAAUGUGGUGCAGGAUGUUUCUCCCUGCAUAUUCGAGCGGGCUAUUAUCGUCGCCUUGUGGAAGGGUGCUCUGUCAUUUCAGCCCAGUGCUAGUGUUGCCUAUGAUUUUGAGGCUACACAUAGAGUAUUAUGAUCUUCGUGCAUUGUUAUCGUGAAGUGUUGGUGUGAAUGGUAGGGUGCUUAUUUAUGUGCCGCGAUAGUGUAUGAAUCGAAUGGGGGAUUACUCGACUCAUGGUUUAGAGGUUCGGAAUUAACUUUCAGCAGAGGAAAGGCAAUUGGACUAUAGAUGUUCAGGCCUUAGUUGACGGAGUAGUGAGACUUGAUAUUUUCUAGCGUGGUGGAAUUCUAAUUGUGGCGUGGUGUCGUCGUCCUUGUUGGAACACAUCAAGGCUCAUCGGUGUUACGGUCUUCUUUGAUUUGCCUUCGGGGCAGGGUGUUGUGAAAUGGUGCUUAAGAAGCGAUUGUCGGAUGGCAGUGUGUAGCGGUUUCAAAGUCGAAUCAGUGUUUCUAAUGUUGAUGGCUCGAGAAAGAUGAUAUAUUAAAGAGAUAAUAUCACUAUUCAGUUCAGAAUAAUGUAAUGGUUCUUGUCAAGCAGAGAGACUCCAUGAUUUAUUGAUAUGGCAGGCAGUUAUGAGCAUCUACGGGUCGCUUUCAUCAUUGCAGAAUCGUGAGGGUUGGAUUAGGGCUUAUGCGCGUUAUAAGGUAUACUACGGGCAUCAUGUUAGUGGAUUUGAAGCUUUUACGGUUGGAGGAUUUUAUUAUUGGCAUACGAAUUAUGCGGUGCAUUGUGUGGUUUCAGCAUGGAUGCAUGAUCAUAUUUGGUACAACGGGUUAAAAUUGAUAUGGUGUUCGUAUGUUAGAAUCAGGUCUCGUAGAGAAUUUCGGAUGUUGGAAUAUGCUUCUAAGGCUUGUGAGCUAAAGGUAGUAGGAAGGAUCUUCAGUCUGGCUCAAGCUAAUGUGCUCACAUGGGUUGUGGUGGCACGGGUAGGUGCACGAGGUGUUAAUCAACAAUUUUGGGCAACUUCGGAACAGUUCUUGGCUCAUUCGAGGACGAACGUAUGUUUAAGUGGGGGAGAAUGUAACGACCCGACCGAUCAUCUUAUGCUCUAGCAUGUCGUUCGGCGGUUUGAGGCCUUGAGUAGCUUCACUUCAUGUUUUAUGACUUGUACAUGUGGUCGAAAUUGAAUUUCGGGAAAUUCGGAGUUUAUUCCGAAGGAAAAUUCUCAAUUCGGAAACUUUAAGUUGGAAGAGUUGACCAAGGUUUGACUUUAGAUUAAACGACCUCGGAAUCAAAAUUUGAAGGUUUCAACAGGUUCGUAUGAUAAUUUCGGACUUGGGCUCAUGUUCGGGUGGUCCGAGAGCAUUUCGUCGCUUAUUAUAAAAAGUUGGCAUUUUAAAAGUUUUAGAAUUUUCUAAAUUUUAUUUGAAGUGGACUUUGGUGUUAUCGAUGUCCGUUUGGGGUUUCGAGCCUUGAAAUAGGUUCGUAUCAUGAUUUGUGACUUGUAUGUAAAGUUUGGCGUCAUUCCGAAAUGUUUAAGUAUGAUUUGGAUGCGUUUGUCGAAGUUUGAAUGCUUAAAAGUUAAAAGAAGGAUUUUGAUCGUCGAUUCAUAAUUAUGAUGUUAUUCAUAGUGUUUUGAGCAUUUGGAUAAGUUCGGAUAAUGUAUUGGGACUUGUUGGUGUUAUUGGACAGCGUCCGGGGGACCUCAGGUGAGUUUCGGAUCAUUUCUCCAUGUUUUACUGAUGUUCUUGCUGGUUCUGGUGUUGUUUAUCGCGAACGCGUAGGGUUGCUCGUGUUCGCGAAGAAGGAUUUGAGCUGGAGGAUUUUAGUUCAUCGCGUUCGUAAUUGGAUCCCGCGUUCGCGAAGGUGUGGGCGGAUGCGCACCGCAUCCACGAUAGGAUAUCGCGUUCGCUGAGGGGAAAAGGCUGGGUCUGGAAGCUUGGCUUUCGUGUUCGCCUGGUGAAGCAUCGCAUUUGCGACCCCUGUCUCACGUUCUCAUUCAGGAGUUUUGGAGCUUGUGGAGGUUGCUCUUCACGAACGCGAGGGUAAGGCCGCGUUCGCAAAGAAGGUCGGGUUGGCAGUAUUGUUUUAAAUCGGAGAUUUGGCUCAGUUUCACUUCAUUUCUUCCAUGAGAGCCGACUUUGGAGUGAUUGUUGAGCGCCAUUUUCAUCAUCAUGAGGUAAGUCAUUUUUACACUUUGUGUGUUAAAUACACGAAUUUAGGCUUGUUCACUGAAGAACUUAAGUGGUAAAUGCGGGAUUCUUGGUAGAAGACCUCGAAUUGGUAUUUUUGUAUUUUGACCACGAAAUUGGACAUGGAAUUAAGAAUAAAUGAUAUAUUUGGGUUCUUGGUGUUAUGGGUAAUAUUUAUUUUUUAAAAAUUUCGAAAUCAGGACACGUGGGCAUGAGGGUUGACUUUGUUGACUUUUCGAACGGAGUAGAGGAUGGUUAUAAAUUGUUAAACUAUCAGCAGUGGAGUGUAUUUUUAUUGAUUUGCACAUUGUUUGACUAGUUUCAGAUUGAUGGGCAUCGGUUUUGUAAAUAACAUGUUUACGUUACGUCUCUGACCUUGUAUAGUAAAUAUGUGAUUCGUAAGUCGAUAAGUUUCUUCUAUUCCUCGGGAUCGGGCCGAACACUUCGGCAGUAUAUGCAUAUAUGAGAUGCAUCCAUGGAUCGGGCCGUACGACCUUGGCAGUGUAUGUGCACGACUAUAUCGAUAGGGGCGAACGACCUCGACAUAAUUCGUGCGUAAAAUCGCUAGGAGUCCGAAUACCCACAAGAUUACCCCCUUGAUUGAACUUGGAAAUUAUAUAAUAUUCUCUUUAUGACCUGAGAUCGGAUAUUUAAUUGAUGGUUCUUAUUUGCUGAGAUAGCAUGUGGUACUUGGGGAUUUUUAAACUGAUGAUAUUUGUUAACGGAUUUCGUUAUCUACUGUUUCCUUAGUCUAUUGAUUCUUGGUGUAUUUCAUGCCUGCUUAUGAUUCCUGCAUUUUAUUCAUUGGACCACCAGUAAGUGUCGAUGUCGACCCCUCGUCACUACUUCUCCGGGGUUAGUCUAGAUACUUACUGGGUACAGUUUGAUUUAUGUACUCAUGCUACACUUCUACACUGAACGUGCAGGAUCUGACAGGUUCAUUUGGUGGUCAUCCUGGCGCGUAGGCACAACUGCUGAAGGGACUUUAUGGUGAGUUGCUUCCUAUGCUACGCACUGCAGCCCUCAGAGUGUCCAUCUUAUUUAUUUACUUAAUCCUGUCUAUUUUAUUUUUCCAGACGGUUGUGGUAUUAUUAUUGCACUCUUUAGUAGACGCUCAUGUACUUGUGACAUCGGGUUUUGGGAUGUUCUAGAAUUUGUUUAUGGUUUUGGUUAACAUUGACACACUUUUACUUUAUAUUUUAUCCAAAAUGUAUGUAUCUACGAUUUUUAAUGCAUUAAUUUCUCUAUCCAAUAAGAUUCUUGAUUUCAAAAAUAAUAAAAUGAAUAAGUAAGCUAGUAGUUCACCGUUAGCAUAGUGGGUUUUGCGUCGUGAUAGAAUAUCUUUCUGAGCAUGAGUGUACUUCUAAAAAUGUCCUAAAAACAUAUAUACUUCAUAAAUAUGUGAAAAUUAGGACUUUCAUUGUGGUGAGGACACUUGAAACAUAAGGAUAGGCAGAAUUCGAAACUUUUGAUUGAAGCAAGAUGAACAAAUCUUGUCGAACUUAGGUAUACUUGAGGCACUACUCAAAGCUAUAGGAAUUACCCAUGAGCUGGUACCAGUUUGCUGAAAAGUAUAUGGUAGAAAUUCUUAUACACAAUACUAAUUGUUGGUACCAACCAAAGUCAAGUUAAAAAGAUGAUUGAUCAAUAAAUCAGUCUUUCUUUACUCUUCAAAUUUUCAAGUAUUCUCCACAAAAAAACUACAAACACCAAGAAACAAAAAUACAAAAAAUAAAGUCAAGUUUUGUUGAUGGUAGAGUUAGUCUUUAUUGUAAUAGAACAACGCCCGACCUGACUUCCCGUGGGAGGAUACGUAGGCAAUCCACGUAGAGUCCGGUUCCACUCUUAUAAUAGAAAACCAAAAAUCAUUUCUAUAUGUUCGGAACUAUGCUACGAUUUGAUUUCCUUCGGUAGGAAUACGCAGUCAAUCCACAUCAGAUUCAGUUAUCUUUUGCAAUCGAACUAUGUUUUGCAGUCUUAGUUAGAUCCGGCCAUAUCAUUCAAAAAUUCUAUCAUUUUGCAUCAAUUGCAAUUGAAGGCCUGAUUCCAUUUGGAUACGUAGGUUGCCCGAGUCAUUAAUAACAGAACCCUCUUCAUCAAUCUUCUCACAUAGAAAAAAAAAUAGCUUCUUGCUCUUCCAGGCUCCCUAAUAGACAUUUCAUUUCAAAGUCAAUUUUAUAGGGACCCACCUUCAAAUACAUGUAAUUUAGAUUUCAAGUGUUCUGAUAUCGCUUCAGACUGGUACACAGCCCGAAUUUCAUUUUUUUAUUCAAGUGCUCCGAUAUCGCUUCAGACCAGUACGCAACUCGGAUUUUGUUUUUUCAUUCAAGUGCUCUGAUAUCACUUCGAAACUGUACACAACCCGAGUUUCUUUCAAAUAAAGUGCUCCAAUCACUUUGGACAGGUAUACAGCCCGAAUUUCCUUUAAUAAUCCAAGUGCUCUGAUUACUUUGGACCGGUACACAGCCUGAAUUUCCUUCAAAAUUCAAAGUGCUCCGAUCACUUCAAACCAAUACCCAACCUGGAUUUUCUUCAAAAUUCAAAGUGCUCAGAUCACUUCGGAUCGGUAUCUAGCCCGGUUCCCUUUCGAAUUAGAGUUCCAACAUAGGACCAUAUUUUAGUCAACUCUCCUGAUCAAAGACGCGACACAACGUGUAAUUAUCUUCUAACACUAACUGGGGCAGAUUUUGAGGACCGACGUCAAGCUUUCCAACAACACUCGGCGACAUGUCCCCAAAUAUCGUUCUUAUAUCCUCAUUGGCAUGGGGUGUGUAGGUAAUCCGAACCCACAUAGUCAAAAUAAAACACCUAGCGUCAUCACAGCCUGAUGCUGGGGCAAUAUUUAAAAUAAAAAAUCAAAUCAUCCCAUCAAUUUCACAAACUACAAUUGGCUUGAUUCUCGUUACAUCCGAGAUAUGUAGGAAAACACAAAACUGAGCCCGGCCGUAUCCACAUCAAAAUCCAUCGAUCAAUCCACCCAUCAUCCAACAUCCAUGUCCUAGUGUUACCACAGUCCAACACCGGGCAAUUUUGGAAGCAAUGUCGAGAUCACACGAACCUUUUUAUCCUCGAACAUUUGUCUUCCGCUCCAUGAGGCUACGAUUCAUAAGUGGUACUUAGUUGCAUUUCAUAACUACACGUGACCUGAUUCUCGUACAACCCGAGAUAUGUGGGCAACUCAAAUACCAGAGUUUGGUCACAAUCUUCAAAAUCUCUUCAUCCAUCGCUCUGUCAUGUCAGGUCAAAAUCGAGUAAGUUGUCAAUUUCUUCGCUAUAAGACUCUUACAUCAUCUCCGGUCAAAGAGGGGCAGCUGUUGACACUCAAUUUUGAACCUCCGUAUUUAAAAAUUAAUUUCUACAGGCUUCCUAAUCAAAAAAUAAUAAAAUAUAGUAUUUUGCACACUAUUUAGCUCUUAUGUAAUUUAUUGAUAAUUAUUCUUAGCUCUUAUUACAUCAUCUCCGGUCUCUAAGUAUUUUUAUAAUUUUAUUGCAAUUAGUUAAAUACUACCAUUUUUGUGCAUUUUUCUAAAUUUUAAAUAAUUUAUUGAUAAUUGUCCUAUUUAUUAAAUAUUAUGAUAUUCUAUCAAUUUAUUUACAUUUAAAAAAAUAAAAUAAUAAUUACUACCACACAAUUGUGGUAGUUACAUUUUAAAAGAAUACAAUAAGAUUUUUUAAUUAAAUAAUUAUUUUUUAAUUCGUAGCACAGUAUAUUAAUUAUAUGGAAGCCAGUAUAAUUAAUUUUAAAAUAUGGAUCAAGUCCGGUCUAAUUCAAUGUCCCGUCAACAUUCAAUGUGACCACUACUAAAAAAUCAGGUUUUAGCGACGGACAAAUUCUGUAGCUAAACAGAAAACUCCGUCGCUAAUCUUAUUUAGAGACAAAUUAGCAAUGGAUUAUCAAGAAAUUCUAUUGGCGACAAAUAUUUUAGCGACAGAUUUGUAACGACAUUCGUAGCUAAUUCUAAUUUUUUUUAGUGCACGAGACAUUUUUUGUGACUAGACAAUGACACGAUAAGACAUUGAUGUAACAUGACAUCGAUGGGACAUGACCUUCUUUCAUUUUUGAUCAUUUAUUUUCUUUUAUAUUUUUACCUUUUUUUACUUCAAAGCCAAGUCCCUAAGUUUUCUACCCCACGACCCCACAUUUUAUACACACUACAAAAACAAAAAUACACUGACACACCCAAGGAACCAUCAUAUCUUAAAAGGGGGAAAACCCAUAUUAUUUUUAUCAACCUCACUUCUCUCAUCUUUGAGAGCUACACAACCGCCUCUCUCAUUUUGGGGCCUCCCUCCCUCAUCGCUUACUGGUCGUCAUUGCCGGAUUUAAUCGCCGGACGUCGGCCACAGUUUCACCACUAUGCUUAAUCUCUCUCACGCCACUCUACUAUUUUUUUCUCAUCGUUCGUCGCCUCAUUCGUCGCCAAAGAACGGCUAGCAGUAGCCAUGGCCGACCACCAUUAAAAGUGUCAGAUUUGGGCUGUUCCAAGCGGAUCUUCCCUAAAAGAGAAGUUCGAUGAACUUUACUCUAAGGCGCCGUUCCGAUAAACUCUGUUGAAGCAACGCCAUCCAUUUGAUAGAGCUUUUGACCGGAAAGAUUAAACGCCAGCGACCUUUGACGCUUUGUUGGUCCUUUUUGCUGCUGCUCCGGUCCGACCUUUGAAGUAGUGGCCUUGAGACAGAGCUAACAUCAUCUCAGGUUUGACAUGGCUAUCCAAAUAUGGUGAUGUUUUGCUAUUUCUGUAGGUUGGCCGGAAACAAUGAUUUCCGGCAAUGUUUGUCAUUUCCGGCAACCUCUCUUGUGUUUCUUUUUACUGCAUUAUAUGUUCUUUUGACUAGAUGCUUACUGAUCUUUCGGUUUGUUCCUCCUGUUAUCACUGUUCCGGCAUCUCUCUGCUGUUAGUGAAUAACUCAUUUGUUUUUUGUGUUACAGUAUUUUAGUACCUCUGUCGUUAUGAUCACUUUGGGCAUAAUAUGUUUGGCUUGAUUCCAGUUCCUUGCUAGCAAUUUGGUGAUGUUUUUGGACAUUGUUCUUCCGUUACUAUUUGGACGCUACUGUUUGCUGUCUCGCGGGAAAAUCUGUCGACCCAUUUGUAUUUAAAGAUUAUCGGAGGAAUAUUAUGUUGUGGGACCCUUGAAAAGAUAUAAAUUUUAAGGCCUUGCGAUGAUUUUUAACUGAUAAAGGACAAGAUACUACACUGUCCCUCGGAUCCGGAAAGAAAUAUAUUUUAUGAGGUGACGACGAAAGCUAAAGAAAAAAUAAAGGAUGAGAAUGCGAUAAUACAUGCUUCGGAAGGCAAGACAGUUGGCCGCCGGAGUUGCAACCAAGUCGGCGUUCACAUUCUAAUGUCUAUUUGCUAUGGCAUACACUAUCCGAGCCUCCAAAAAUAUUUUUUAGACAUUUUCAAAAACAAAAGCAAUUUUCCAAAAUAUUUUCUUAAAUCAUUUCUAAACGACAAUGUACGAAAAACGACUUUAAAUAAAAUAAUUUCAAACAAUAAAUUUGUUUAUUGUCUUACUUUAUACUUUUCUAAUAAUUUCACUUUUCUUGUGUUGCGAGGUACUAUCACAUGGAAUUGCUUUCAGGAGAUGACACCCGAAGAAGAAAAGACAAAUCCUUGUCAAGCUCCCCACGUCGUACUUCCUAUUCUAUGAUGUAUUAAAAAUGGAAGUAUAGUAAAAAUAUAGAUAUAUGUCGUAUUGCUUGUUUACUUUGAUAUUGCUGGUUUGCUGAACACUUAUGGAAUUGCAUCAAUUUAAUAAUCUUAUUAACUUGCAAUAUUGUGUGUUAAGUAAUUUUUAAAGUUUGUAUGGAAUGUUGAAUAUAUUUUCUAAAAUGGUUAAUUAAUUAGAACGGAUGUAUACCUAACUAAUUAAACUAGUCAUAUACAUAAAAAAAUAAAAACAUGUCAUCUUUUUCCAAAAAAUAAAAAAUAAAUUUGUCUUUGUUUUAAAAUUAUAUGAGCAUCUUUUCGAACCACUCUACAUGUAAAUUAUUCUUUAAUUGACACAUAAUUUGUAAAGAAGUUGUAAUUGAAUUGUUACACUAUUCUGUUAGAGAAUUGGGCCUUAUAGUCAUUUAGGCUUAGGCUCACAUAAUUUGUGUUUCAAGACUAUGACUCCAGAGAUUGUCUUUAGUCACUCAUUGAAUGAUAACUCAUUUUUUAAUGCAAAUAUUUCUUUUAUAUUGAUAUAAUAAUUUUCUUAUGUCAUAAACAUCUUGAUACAUUUUCUUAUAUUGUAUUCAUUCAUUAAAUCAAUUCUUUAUUCAUCAAAUAAAUUCUUUUACUUUACCCAUUACACACUAAGAUUAUCCGAGGAUAAUUCUUCCUCCACUUUUUGGUCAAAUUACUUACUAACUAUUUAUUCAUCUACAAAUAAAUAUUCUUUCCCCCUUUUCUCAAUUCUUUAGUAUAAGUUUUCUCUUGUUGUAGUCAUCCAUUUA
rnacentral:lncRNA from 1 species